rnacentral:rRNA from 1 species
AUGACAAGUUCAAGUCAGUCGUCUUUGGAUGAUGAAGUGACAAACGAAUCAUCUACGAUUUUUCCUACUAAUGGCAUGCUCAUAUCAACUGAGGGCUUGGAGCGAGGAGAAAGCUCAAAAGGACGAAAGCGUGUACGUGAAGCAAUAAGAUAUGCUAGCCGUACACCAGAACAAAUCCAAGCAAGGAGAGAACGUGUUAGAGCACGUCGGCAAAAUUUAACACCUGCUGAGAGGGAAAAGAUUAAUGCACAAAGAAGAGAGAAAAGACAACGAAUGGCACUUGAUGAGAGGAAUGCAAGCCAACGAGCACGUAGGCAAAGUUUGACAAUAGAUGAGAGGCAAGAAAUAAAUGCACGCCGGCGAGCACGUAGGCAAAGCCUACCACCUGAAGAGCGGCAAGCACUCCUAGCUCAACGUAAUGCAAGCUACGCAUCUAAACGAGAUGCCCUCUGCAGGGAUUCUGUUGCACUACAGUGCCCUACAGGUUCAUUGAUGGGACAUCCAUCAUCAAGUUCUUAUGUCUUUAGCCACCCAGGAGAUGAUGAUACUAUCCAGCACAUGGAACUCACAUCGGUGCAAUGUCCAACAUCUACAUCAGUGGACAAUCCAUCAUCACCCCAUGAUGGUUUCGUAUAUUCAGAUUCCCCAAUAGAAAGCUUUGUCGCCGAUGAUGAUGAUUCUCACAUGUCUGAAGAACAAGAUGAUGAGUACUUCGCAUUUGCUGGGAGAGGUGACGAUGAAGACUUGGUAGAUGCCUUUACAACAGACACCAUUGUCCCUGACCUAUAUGAUCGUGUCUACCACAAUAUACCAGUAAGUACUCACAUGUUGACACCAAAACCUGAUUGCAAUCACUGUGGUGCAAAGAGGUUCCAGUAUGAAACAAGUGGAUUUUGUUGUCGGUCCGGAAAGAUUAACCUAGCACACUCAGAACCUCCCUUGGAACUUCAAAUGUUAUACACAAGUUCAGAUCCCAAUGACGUGCAUUUUAGGGAGAACAUUCGGUACUUUAAUGGACACUUCUCAUUCACCACCCUUGGAGUCAGUCUGGACAAUAGAUACACAAACAUGAGUUCAGGAGUGUAUACAUUCUGA